rnacentral:rRNA from 1 species
UCAUCAUGCCCUUAUGACCUGGGCUACACACGUGCUACAAUGGUUGGUACAACGAGUUGCGAGUCGGUGACGGCGAGCUAAUCUCUUAAGCCAAUCUCAGUUCGGAUUGUAGGCUGCAACUCGCCUACAUGAAGUCGGAAUCGCUAGUAAUCGCGGAUCAGCACGCCGCGGUGAAUACGUUCCCGGGCCUU